rnacentral:rRNA from 1 species
AUUGAACGCUGGCGGCAUGCCUUACACAUGCAAGUCGAACGGCAGCACGGGUGCUUGCACCUGGUGGCGAGUGGCGAACGGGUGAGUAAUACAUCGGAACGUACCUUAUCGUGGGGGAUAACGCAGCGAAAGCUGUGCUAAUACCGCAUACGCCCUGAGGGGGAAAGCGGGGGAUCGAAAGACCUCGCGCGAUUAGAGCGGCCGAUGCCUGAUUAGCUUGUUGGUGGGGUAAAAGCCCACCAAGGCGACGAUCAGUAGCUGGUCUGAGGGGACGAUCAGCCACACUGGGACUGAGACACGGCCCAGACUCCUACGGGAGGCAGCAGUGGGGAAUUUUGGACAAUGGGGGCAACCCUGAUCCAGCAAUGCCGCGUGAGUGAAGAAGGCCUUCGGGUUGUAAAGCUCUUUUGUCAGGGAAGAAACACCGGCUCUAACACAGUCCGGGGAUGACGGUACCUGAAGAAUAAGCACCGGCUAACUACGUGCCAGCCGCCGCUGUAA